AAUGUCUUGUCUCAGAUUAAGCCAUGCAUGUCUAAGUAUAAGCGAUUUAUACUGUGAAACUGCGAACGGCUCAUUAUAUCAGUUAUAGUUUCUUUGAUAGUGUUUUUUAGAUGGAUACUUGUGGCAAAUCUAGAAACAAUACAUGCUUAUAGGCCCGACUUUUAGGGAGGGCUGCAUUUAUUUGAUAUAAACCAAUACCUUUCGAGGUUGUUUUGGUGAUUCAGAAUAACUAAGCGAACCGCAGAGACCUUUGGGCCGCCGGGAAUCCUUCCAGUUUCCGGCCCCUCCACUGGCCACCGGAAUGGAUUGGAAUACCGGGGCCCUCCCGGGUGAACGAAAAAUUAGGGUUCAAUUCCGGAAAGGAAGCCGGAAAAACGGUUACCACAUCCAAGGAAGGAACCAGGCGCGUAAAUUACUCAUGGUUGACUCAACAAAGUAUUGACAAGAAAUACACAUGCGGGGCACUCAUGGAAUUGCAUGGUGAAUAAAAGCAUGGUAAAACCCUCAUCAAGGAUCAAUUGAAGGGCAAGUCUGGUGCCACCACCCGCGGUAAUUCCAGUUCCAAUAGCUAAUAUUAACGUGGUUGCAGUUAAAAAGCUCGAAGUUAAACUUUUGGAAGGGCCAACCGGGCCUUGGGCCCUUGCCCUGGUUUGGCCUGGGGCCGAACCGGGCCACCCUUACAAUUUCUUUUUUGGAAGGUAACCCUUUUAUGGUCACAAACAGGAUAGCGCACAAACAGAACGUUUGUUGGGUACUCAAACCACGGACUAGUAAUAUGGCACGGGUAACUUUUCGUGAGUGGCAAAGCAGGUAUGAGUACCAGGAGAACGGAGCUUCCCGUCUUUAUUGUCUAAGAGCAAAUCGCGAAACUAUGAGCACAAGCGAGAUAGGUCCUUUCCCUGAUGUCUCUCUUAGAUUGACCCAUCUUUGCAAAUUGAAGGGAUCAGUCUGACUUUCACGAUUCUUGCAGGUUGGAGUUCCGAUUAAGUCAAGCAUCUGCAGCGUGCAGUGCCAUGCGCAAAAAACAUACAAAAUCAAAAGGCCGUUGCCCCCAUCCUUGAUCAAAAGUUAAGCGACUGGCCCCUCGA
rnacentral:rRNA from 1 species